rnacentral:rRNA from 1 species
GAGUUUGAUCGUGGCUCAGGAUGAACGCUAGCGGCAGGCUUAACACAUGCAAGUCGAGGGGCAGCAUAAUGGAUAGCAAUAUCUAUGGUGGCGACCGGCGCACGGGUGCGUAACGCGUAUGCAACCUACCUUUAACAGGGGGAUAACACUGAGAAAUUGGUACUAAUACCCCAUAAUAUCAUAGAAGGCAUCUUUUAUGGUUGAAAAUUCCGAUGGUUAGAGAUGGGCAUGCGUUGUAUUAGCUAGUUGGU